CAGUGGGGAAUAUUGCACAAUGGGCGCAAGCCUGAUGCAGCCAUGCCGCGUGUAUGAAGAAGGCCUUCGGGUUGUAAAAGUACUUUCAGCAGUGAGGAAGGUGGGUAUGUUAAUAGCAUAUUCAUUUGACGUUUAGCUGCAGAAGAAGCACCGGCUAACUCCGUGCCAGCAGCCGCGGUAAUACGGAGGGUGCGAGCGUUAAUCGGAAUUACUGGGCGUAAAGCGCAUGCAGGUGGUUUGUUAAGUCAGAUGUGAAAGCCCGGGGCUCAACCUCGGAAUUGCAUUUGAAACUGGCAAACUAGAGUACUGUUAGAGGGGGUAGAAUUUCAGGUGUAGCGGUGAAAUGCGUAGAGAUCUGAAGGAAUACCGGUGGCGAAGGCGGCCCCCUGGACAGAUACUGACACUCAGAUGCGAAAGCGUGGGGAGCAAACAGGAUUAGAUACCCUGGUAG
rnacentral:rRNA from 1 species